UACGUAGGAGGCGAGCGUUGUCCGGAGUACUGGGCGUAAAGCGCACGCAGGCGGUCAGAUCAGUCUGGAGUGACAGUCGUCGGCUUAACCGACGAAGUGUUCUGGAAACUGUCUGACUUGAGGGCUUCAGAGGGACACGGAAUUCCGGGUGGAGUGGUGAAAUGCGUAGAUAUCCGGAGGAACACCAAUGGCGAAGGCAGUGUCCUGGGAAGUACCUGACGCUCAGGUGCGAA
rnacentral:rRNA from 1 species